rnacentral:rRNA from 1 species
ACCAUGAAGAGUUUGAUCCUGGCUCAGGAUUAACGCUAGCGGCAGGCCUAACACAUGCAAGUCGAGGGGCAGCGGGAGUAGCAAUACUUGCCGGCGAC